rfam:Phalacrocorax carbo contig107078, whole genome shotgun sequence.
AGUGCAAAGCAUAUGAUGAGAAAGCAUGGAAACUGACUCUCUAUGGAGUACACUCAGUCCAACACUGAGCUUUGUGUC